CUCCGGUUUGAUCCCGCCGGACCCGACUGCUAUCAGAGUGGGACUAAGCCAUGCGAGUCAACAUAGCAAUAUGUGGCAUACGGCUCAGUAACACGUAGUCAACAUGCCCAGGGGACGUGGAUAACCUCGGGAAACUGAGGAUAAACCGCGAUAGGUCAUCACUUCUGGAAUGGGUAAUGACUUAAAUCUAUAUGGCCCCUGGAUUGGACUGCGGCCGAUCAGGCUGUUGGUGAGGUAAUGGCCCACCAAACCUGUAACCGGUACGGGCUCUGAGAGGAGGAGCCCGGAGAUGGGCACUGAGACAAGGGCCCAGGCCCUAUGGGGCGCAGCAGGCGCGAAACCUCUGCAAUAGGCGAAAGCUUGACAGGGUUACUCUGAGUGAUUUCCGUUAAGGAGAUCUUUUGGCACCUCUAAAAAUGGUGCAGAAUAAGGGGUGGGCAAGUCUGGUGUCAGCCGCCGCGGUAAUACCAGCACCCCGAGUGGUCGGGACGUUUAUUGGGCCUAAAGCAUCCGUAGCCGGUUCUACAAGUCUUCCGUUAAAUCCACCUGCUUAACAGAUGGGCUGCGGAAGAUACUAUAGAGCUAGGAGGCGGGAGAGGCAAGCGGUACUCGAUGGGUAGGGGUAAAAUCCGUUGAUCCAUUGAAGACCACCAGUGGCGAAGGCGGCUUGCCAGAACGCGCUCGACGGUGAGGGAUGAAAGCUGGGGGAGCAAACCGGAUUAGAUACCCGGGUAGUCCCAGCUGUAAACGAUGCAGACUCGGUGAUGAGUUGGCUUAUUGCUAACUCAGUGCCGCAGGGAAGCCGUUAAGUUUGCCGCCUGGGGAGUACGGUCGCAAGACUGAAACUUAAAGGAAUUGGCGGGGGAGCA
rnacentral:rRNA from 1 species